rnacentral:rRNA from 1 species
UACAGAGGUCUCAAGCGUUGUUCGGAUUCAUUGGGCGUAAAGGGUGCGUAGGUGGUGGGGUAAGUCGGAUGUGAAAUCCCGGGGCUCAACCCCGGAACUGCAUUCGAUACUGCCUUGCUCGAGUACUGGAGAGGAGACUGGAAUUUACGGUGUAGCAGUGAAAUGCGUAGAUAUCGAUAAGGAAGACCAGUGGCGAAGGCGAGUCUCUGGACAGUUACUGACACUGAGGCACGAAGGCCAGGGGAGCAAACGGG